UACGGGGGGGGCAAGCGUUGUUCGGAAUUACUGGGCGUAAAGGGCUCGUAGGCGGCCUGUUGCGUCUGCUGUGAAAACUCGGGGCUUAACCCCGAGCCUGCAGUGGAUACGGGCAGACUAGAGGUAGGUAGGGGAGAAUGGAAUUCCCGGUGUAGCGGUGAAAUGCGCAGAUAUCGGGAGGAACACCGGUGGCGAAGGCGGUUCUCUGGGCCUUACCUGACGCUGAGGAGCGAAAGCGUGGGGAGCGAACAGG
rnacentral:rRNA from 1 species